AUUGAACGCUGGCGGCAUGCUUUACACAUGCAAGUCGAACGGCAGCGCGGGCUUCGGCCUGGCGGCGAGUGGCGAACGGGUGAGUAAUGCAUCGGAACUUGCCCAGUAGUGGGGGAUAGCCCGGCGAAAGCCGGAUUAAUACCGCAUACGACCUGAGGGUGAAAGCGGGGGACCGAAAGGCCUCGCGCUAUUGGAGCGGCCGAUGUCGGAUUAGCUAGUUGGUGGGGUAAAGGCUUACCAAGGCGACGAUCCGUAGCUGGUCUGAGAGGACGACCAGCCACACUGGGACUGAGACACGGCCCAGACUCCUACGGGAGGAAGCAGUGGGGAAUUUUGGACAAUGGGGGCAACCCUGAUCCAGCCAUGCCGCGUGCGGGAAGAAGGCCUUCGGGUUGUAAACCGCUUUUGUUCGGGAAGAAAUACUCUGGGCUAAUACCCCGGGGGGAUGACGGUACCGGAAGAAUAAGCACCGGCUAACUACGUG
rnacentral:rRNA from 1 species